rnacentral:lncRNA from 1 species
UUUUUUCUUUUUUCUUUUUUGUUUUUUUAGGACCAUAACCGUGGCACAGGGAAGUUUCCAGGCUAGGGGCUGAAGUGGAGCUGCAGCUGCCAGCCUAUGCUUCAGCCACAGCAAUACUGGAUCCGAGCCGCAUCUGCAACCUACGCCACAGCUCAGGGCAAUGCCAAAUCCUUAACCCACUGAGUGAGGCCAGGGAUUGAACUCACAUCCUCAUGAAUAGUAGUCAGGUUCAUUACCACUGAGCCACAAGGGGAACUCCUGAGCACUGUUAUUUUUAAAACCUGUUUUUCUGUAUCUUGGACAGUAUCAAUCACUAGUGUACACUUUGAAUACACGCAUUGGCUACGCGAAUGGCUUUUAAAAAUCAUCUCCCCCAUUUCCCCCAGACUUGUUCUUUGUCUCAUGGUGCAAAUUUCUUUCCAGUUUUUAUAAUUUUCCUUUCUGUUUUAUUUAUAGUGUCUUUCGUAUGGAGACGUGACUGUAUAACACAGCCAGUUCUAUCUACUCCCUCCUGACCUCUUAGGAGGGCUCGUUCUUUGGUGUCACAUCCGGAAAGACCAGCUCUGUCCCAAUUUAUAAUAUAUUCAUUAUGUUUUCUUUAUGUACCUUUAGCAUAUCUAGAACUUAUUUUAAUGUAUAAUGUCAGGAAGAGAAUUAAGUUUAAACAUUUUCAUAGUUAUCCAGUUGUACCAAAGCAAUUACUGAAUAUGUGGAUUCUUGUCAACAAAGAGAUGGUUCAAGAAUCUGUAUUAAUCCUGUAUAAAGUACAUUUCCAAGAAAUAUAUUUGAUUAUGCUUUAUUCACUUAUAUUUUAUUUGCUUUCUUAUUUCACAGUGGUAGGGACGAUAGAUUCCGUUAAAUAGGAUAACAUGAAUUAAUCUUUCCCACAUCCUAGUUGGUAAUUUCUGCCAACAACUAAAACAUUUUUCAUCAUUUUUUCCUUCUCUUUUUCCUAAUCAUCCCUACAUUACAGACUUAACUCAAGGAGACUAGAAGGAGAACAGUAUAAGAGCUAAAACAGCAAAGCUCACUUGGCCACUUGUGCUAAUAGUGAUGAUUUUUUUUCCUACAUUAAAUAUAACCUACAUAGACAACAGCUUUGUAGAUAUGAAGACAGUAUCUUCAGGAACAGAACUGUGCCACUGACUUAUUUUGCAAGAUGUCAUGGGUACAGGCAGAUACUUUGUACUUUGGAGGCAAGGAAAGAAUGAACCUACCUAAGUGUUUAAUCUGAGAGAUUUUUAUUUUCACUUUUUGCCCCUACCACCUAGGGUAAUAUUCUGUUUAAUUCAAUCAGAAGUAUUGCACACUUGCUAUGUGUUGGGUACCAACUCAUCUGAGAUAGUUCUUGAAGAGGCUUGGUCCAGAUAGUAGCU